rnacentral:rRNA from 1 species
UUGGGUUGUAAACUGCUUUAGCCAGGGGCUAAACCAACCGUUGCGUUGGUAGCUGAAGGUACCUGGAGAAUAAGCAUCGGCUAACUCCGUGCCAGCAGCCGCGGUAAUACGGAGGAUGCGAGCGUUAUCCGGAUUCAUUGGGUUUAAAGGGUGCGCAGGCGGGGCAUUAAGUCAGUGGUGAAAUAAGACGGCUCAACUGUCUGGCUGCCAUUGAUACUGAUGUUCUAGAGUGUAAUUGGAGUGGGCGGAAUGUGUCAUGUAGCGGUGAAAUGCUUAGAUAUGACACAGAACACCGAUCGCGAAGGCAGCUCACUAAGUUAAUACUGACGCUCAUGCACGAAAGCGUGGGGAUCAAACAGGAUUAGAUACCCUGGUAGUCCACGCUGUAAACGAUGAUUACUCGAUGUUGGCGAUAUACAGUCAGUGUCUGAACGAAAGUAUUAAGUAAUCCACCUGGGGAGUACGUUCGCAAGGAUGAAACUCAAAGGAAUUGACGGGGGCCCGCACAAGCGGAGGAGCAUGUGGUUUAAUUCGAUGAUACGCGAGGAACCUUACCUAGACUUAAAUGUAGAUUGACCGAACGGGAAACCGUUUUUUCAGCGAUGACAAUUUACAAGGUGCUGCAUGGUUGUCGUCAGCUCGUGCCGUGAGGUGUCAGGUUAAGUCCUAUAACGAGCGCAACCCUUAUCCUUAGUUGCCAGCACGUAAUGGUGGGGACUCUAGGGAAACUGCCUACGCAAGUAGAGAGGAAGGUGGGGAUGACGUCAAAUCAGCACGGCCCUUACGUCUAGGGCUACACACGUGCUACAAUGGUAGGUACAGAGGGCAGCUACACGGUGACGUGAUGCCAAUCUCAAAGGCCUAUCUCAGUUCGGAUCGAAGUCUGCAACCCGACUUCGUGAAGUUGGAUUCGCUAGUAAUCGCACAUCAGCCAUGGUGCGGUGAAUACGUUCCCGGGCCUUGUACACACCGCCCGUCAAGCCAUGGGAGCUUGGGGUACCUGAAGUUCGUAACCGCGAGGGGCGACCUAGGGUAAAACGAGUGACUGGGGCUAAGUCGUAACAAGGUAGCCGUAGAAUC